CCUUGGUGCCCGUCUUCGCCCAUUUGCGCAUUUUCCUUUAAACUAUCGUGCCCAGCGCCUGCGUGGCAGCCCUGUCUCUUCUGGGGACCCCUGGGCUGGAGUGGAUAGGGCUGCGCCCACUGGGCAAACUCCGCAGUCUCCGGGCCAUUGAGAGACAGACUCCCGAGCAGGCGCCCUGCGGGGUCUCCACGAGGUCCUGGGGGAGCCCUGGAAGCGGGUCCCUGGGCAGGGGACCCAAGACCCCAUCUCUAACUGGAGGACUGAGCCGCCUCCUCCCUCUGGAGACCUGCCCCCGGAUGCCCCGCCCCUUUUUCGUGACCCCCACCUGACCCGGAAGCCAGGCCCGACUGUCUCCAGAAGGACUUGGAGCAGAGGGAAGAGUUCCUCUUGUGUGCUUCUCUUCCCGCUGCGUCCCGCGACUCUGCCUACACGCCUCUGGCCGACCACCCCGUGCCGUGGAGACCCUCGACUUGCUGGCCUUGUGGUGAAGCAACAGGAGCAGAUCCUAUUUUUUCAGAUGGAUGCACCCAUCCAUCUCAAGCUUCUGUGAAUGUCGGUUGGUAAAGACUCAUAGACUGAGUUGGGAAGUUGGACCUUACCCCCAAACUGUGGCAAUGGCCAACAAGCGGCUAAUACAGGUGCUCAUAAGACACAUUGUGCACCCCAAACUCAGCAUCUGCUUCCAGAGAACGCAACCUGUGACAGCUGUGCCACAGUAAGAACUGGUAGUGCAGGAGUAAUAAACAUUUGGCUCUCCUCCCAUCCGUCCUUCUUCUGGCACAUUUUCAAUCCAAAAUUUAGGAACUUCCGUCACAGCUGCUUCUGUUUACUAAAGAGAUAGGCCUUAGAAAACGUGCAGCCUGCAGUGUGGUCAGUAGAGAGUUGAUCUUGUUCAAAGCCUACAGAAAAUUGAAGAACAUCACAGGGAAAAAGUAACUGAAGAGUUGGAAAGGGAUACUUAGUUCUGGAGGAGGAAGAGAAGAAAAAGCAUAUUUUGCUGAGCUAAAGGAGUAGGAUAUAGGUUUCAUCAGGGAAGAGAUUAUGUCGGUUUGGCUCAUUGCUGUACCUCUAGUGCCUAGGGCAGUGUCCGGCACGUGAUAAGCCCACGAACACUUUGGAGGAUUCAGAGAUGAAUGAUAUAAUAUCCUGGCCCUCUAUACUAUCUGGGUAGAUGUCUUUUGCUGCUUGAAACUUGGCAUUUCUGAAACGCACUCAGUAUGUAAAUAUCUAUCUACUCUAGGAACAUGUACCAAUGUUUGACUGUUUCCUAGAAAUAUGCUCACUACUAAGCAAUCUGUUCAGGCUACUACUCUGCUGUGGAAGAUUCCCCUUCUCUGAAUGAGAGGCAGAAAGGCACCUCCCGUCAUGGAGAAGGUCAUCAGUAUUUGUAUCUAUAGUUCCUGGGAGUUUUGUGGAAUGUCAGUGUAUUAAUCUAUCUGAAGCUAAUUUAAAUAACGUCAUUAUCAUAAUUAAAAGUCAAAACCUUUACGUGAGGUUAAAUCAGAGAGAUCUCUUUCCUGGCUUGGCUGAAAAUACUAAGCCACAAAUGUUUCCUCUACACACCCCAUCUCCUUCUGCCAGUAACUCUUAAUUACUAAUGCACAUUGUUAGCUCCCCUCCACUUCAAAAAAUUUAAGUGCUUCUUGUGUAGGCAAUUUCAAAGAGAUCCAGAAGAAUCUAAUUAUGCUGAAAAUUUAAAUCCACCAUAUUUUCAGUGUCUUCCAAGUAUUUGGCAGAGGGUUAUCUACCAUUGCUGAUAUAAAUCAACUCUAAAAUAUUAUCCUGUUUCGCUUUAUUCUAAGUUUUGUAAUAAAAUGAAAUGCAGGUGUGUCUGGGGAAUUACAAAUGUGACCUUUUAAACAGUACUAUGUUGCACCCAAUUCUACAGUGAUAUUUUGAAAUAUGUGAUUAUCGAUUUGCUACUUUUUAUAUUUCUAAUAACUUUAACAUCUCCUAAAUGCCCUGCACUUACCAAUCAGUAAAGCACUAGCCAAAUGAAUCAGAUAGCAAUAAUUAGCCUAGUGCACACGUUUUCUGAGUAAUAGAAGGGAUUCAGGAUAAAAUAAACCUGUAUAGUAUGUUUUCUAUACUUUGCUAAAUGAUCAGAGAGAUUUCUACCCUAUGUUUGCUAACCUUCUUAUUGUAGGCAGAAUUCUGGUAUUAAAGAGCAGCAUUCUAAAAACUCAAGAUAAUUGGGCACUCUCAAUUCAGAGGUUUUUGCAAAUCCAUGAAUAAUUGCACAUAGUUAUGUGUGUAUAUACCAAAAGUCUUAAGACUCACUUACCUCCUGUGGGUUUAGUACUCGAGAUACAAGAAAUGAAAACGAGGGAAAUGAUUUAUCACUGAGAUUCCCAUAUUUAUGAAAGAUAUGUAUACCAAAUUGAUACUCCAGUAAGUGGCCUAUCUUUAAAAAAUAAAAUUAAAAAUGGAUUAUCCAUUGAUUGUGAUAAUUUCCAAGAAUUUUGUGAAGGAAAGGCUGAUUGACUAUGGGCAGUUAUUAAGUAAAAGAAAAAGAUAUAUUGAUAUUUAUGGUAACUAAUAGUAUCAUUAAAAUUCAAUACGAAAUGGAGACCAGACUUGAGAAUUUUCUGAGCAGACAAAACCGUUUAAGCCACAUAAACAAAACUACAUUUAGCUUAUUUCAUGAACAUAAGCAAAAUUUAACGUAGGUUAUUUCUUGUAAAUGCCUCUUAUAACCAUAAAAGAAACUUAUGUCAUUUUCCUAAAAUGAUACAAGAUAAUCACUUUUAACCAAUACCCUGCAGUCUGGAAACUCCCACUGUAAUAACUCACUAUGGUAAAGGUUAAACAACUUCCUCAUUUUCACUUUAUAAGCCGUUCUGUAACGUCACACCUCUGAACUUCAUAUCAUUUUGGGAUUUGAAAGCUUGCAGUUGGUGAACUGUUCUUAUUUGCACAGUAAACUCUUACUAAAUACUGUUUUACUGGCCUGGUUUUCUUUUUUACUGUUUCUGGAUUUUUGAAAGUCUUACUGGAUCUUUCCAGACUCUUAAAAAAACUCAUUCUCAAUAUAUCUCCUCUAUAUUUUCUGCUUUUAAAUUUUUUUACUAAUGUCUUCUAUUGCUAUGGUACGUUUGUCAUAACUAAGGAGCUAAUAUUGAUAUUAUUAUUAAACUCAAG
rnacentral:lncRNA from 1 species